CUUCGCGAUUUAAUCCUGACUUUUCCAGGAUUUUCAAGGUGGCUCUUUUAUAAAGCAUGAUUUCUAGUCGGCACCUUGCCGGUGGUCUGUUAGCCUCAACCACGGUGACAUCUACAAGGCCACGGCCCACAGGCGCCCAUUUGAGGAGGGGGUUAGAUGUAUAACGGCGGUGGGGAAAGCAGGCGAGGGGCAAAGAAGCAGCAGGAAAGAAACAGACAGUCACAGGCUAAGGAAGGUGAGCCGGAGGGAGAAAAUGAGAACGUGCGCACUUCUCAGCUGCCGGAGCUCCUGCUGGGCCCGCGCAAGGAACCGCCGAGACGCUGGACCCGGCUGAGCAAACACCGCCACCUGGUGGCCAAGGAGAGUGUGGCUGUCGAGGGGUCAGUUUGGAAAUCACGUAUUUGAAAAACGAGGAAACAGCCCCCAGGUGACUCCAGUGGGCAGCCAAGUUUGAGAGCCAUUGUGUAAGAAACCAUUUUCCACGUUGCUGGGCCUCUUUCGACACAGAAAUAAAAGAGAGAGAAGCACCCGUUCUUACUAAUCUGUUCUCCAGAGAAAGGAGAGAAUGCGUUCAUUCUGGGAGGUGAAUGUAAAGCAAUCCCAAGGAAUUCUAAGACUUAGAAAGGUCAACAUUCAGGCAGAGGAACUAGGACCUUUUCUUUUGCCCUGUAACCCACGGUACUAGGAGAGAUGCGUGACGCUGGCAGCUGAAGCAGACCACUCUGUCUCCUUUCGCAACUCCUGGGACCCUCUCCACACUUCCAGAUGUCCAGAAGCAAUUGGUCAGAUUUCAUGGCCAAGAUGAGUCCACAUUAAGCCCUUUACAGGUGAAAGGUGUGCCCUCUGGAACAGAGGGUUGAACUUUUCCUCCCAUUGGUCUUGUCAUUGCAAGAGUUGAGUGUCGGCAGUGAGAUGAAAUGC
rnacentral:lncRNA from 1 species